AUUGAACGCUGGCGGCAUGCCUUACACAUGCAAGUCGAACGGUAACGCGGGGCAACCUGGCGACGAGUGGCGAACGGGUGAGUAAUACAUCGGAACAUAUCCAGUAGCGGGGGAUAACCUAUCGAAAGAUUGGCUAAUACCGCAUACGAUCUACGGAUGAAAGCAGGGGACCGCAAGGCCUUGCACUAUUGGAGUGGCCGAUGUCAGAUUAGCUAGUUGGUGGGGUAAAAGCCUACCAAGGCGACGAUCUGUAGCUGGUCUGAGAGGACGAUCAGCCACACUGGAACUGAGACACGGUCCAGACUCCUACGGGAGGCAGCAGUGGGAAUUUUGGACAAUGGCGCAAGCCUGAUCCAGCCAUGCCGCGUGAGUGAAGAAGG
rnacentral:rRNA from 1 species